rnacentral:rRNA from 1 species
GUGGGGAAUAUUGGACAAUGGGCGAAAGCCUGAUCCAGCCAUGCCGCGUGUGUGAAGAAGGUCUUCGGAUUGUAAAGCACUUUAAGUUGGGAGGAAGGGCAGUAAGUUAAUACCUUGCUGUUUUGACGUUACCGACAGAAUAAGCACCGGCUAACUUCGUGCCAGCAGCCGCGGUAAUACGAAGGGUGCAAGCGUUAAUCGGAAUUACUGGGCGUAAAGCGCGCGUAGGUGGUUUUGUAAGUUGGAGGUGAAAUCCCCGGGCUCAACCUGGAAACUGCCUCCAAAACUGCAUGACUAGAGUACGGUAGAGGGUAGUGGAAUUUCCUGUGUAGCGGUGAAAUGCGUAGAUAUAGGAAGGAACACCAGUGGCGAAGGCGACUACCUGGACUGAUACUGACACUGAGGUGCGAAAGCGUGGGGAGCAAACAGGAUUAGAAACCCGUGUAGUCC